GAUGGAUCACAUUUUUAAAUGCAUUAUUCACAUCAGUUUCAAAAUCCUAUCAUUAUUUGUUUUGAAUUUAAAUUAAACGAAUCAUUGAUCUUAAAACAGGACACAUUAUGAAACAAUUUGUUCUAUUACCCGUCAAGAAUCCGUUUCAACCUUCAUCGGGAAGCCCCUCGGUUCUCAAAUUGGAAAGAAAGUUUUACCUUCUCUUAGCUUUUACCGUCAUUAAAGCUUCAAAAGUUUUCGCUUUGCAUGUAUUCGCCGACACACACAACCGCACGGAGGAAGCCAUGUUGGGUUACCACCACAUGCACACCCCGGACGACGUCUCUCAUCGCAAGUAGGUGGUGGUGGCGAGGGGCCAGAGAGAAAAACCAAUUGGCCCAACACACAGCGGCAUCGAGAUGCGCUGCCGAGCUGCUGACUGUAGAACGUUGGCGACGAACCCAUUUAGAUGAGCGAGAGAAGAACGUUAAUCUUAGUAAAUGACAUCGACCACGGUAGACGAUUGGAGAGUGCUCCGUUUCGCUAGGUUUUGCCGAUGGUGGACGACGACGGCGGCUGCCAUGCUGCUUGCUAUACCGGAUCAAUACUUAGUGCGGAGGAAUUCCAAGGCGCUUUCUACUUAAGCUGAUUGAAUUUUUCUACUUGAGAGGAUAUAUUUUUUUCGUCUUGAUUGGCUCUAUUGCUUCGAUCGGAAAAUUAGAUCGCGUUUGUGUGCUGUGUUCGUGCUGGAUUGCAGUUUGUUGUCGAGCGGAAGUGAAUCAAAGCAUGAGUGUGGUUUGGUUGAUUGCGUGCAAAAAUAUGGGGCUGAAACUGCGGAUAGAACUUUCGGCGAUGUGUGGUGAAAAACGUGACUGAUCCGGCUAUCGAUUUUUAUCGUUUCAGAUCUGAUGGAAUGAUUGCAGUUGCCGUUCAAAAAGGUAGGUAUUUGCAUUUGAUUCGCUUGCUUUGUACUCCUCGCGCCUAGGAACGAUUUCAGCCGACGGUGUGGCAUUUUGAUGAUGCCGACGGUAAGAGUAACGUUUGAGAUUAUUUUUAUAAAGACAUGUUCAUGUAGCGAUCCGAAUAACUAAUGGCUCAUGGUGUGUCGCUUCCCUGGCUGUGUUAACACUUAUCAUAUCCUUAUCACCGAAACCAAUAGACUAAUCUAAACUCCCAUGCUUUCGGAGGAAUCAAUUUACUCGCUCUAAUUCUCUCCAGCCGACGGCUUGCGGUUCCUAUUCUGGAAAAUUAGUCACAUCGCAUUGAAUUUCCCGCGCAGCUAAUUAAUUUUGUUCCAAUUACCGUGCUCGCGCGCGUUCGCAACAAAUCGCGCAAAUGUUUUACCGCGACAUUUCGCGAUUCUAGAACUCGGUUAGAUCUUGAGCAGCCGGUUAGUAUUCACAUUUUGCGAUCAGUUUCCCCCGUGAGGUCCGAGUGGUUACAUCCUCGCCGCAUGUAGAAGGGUCAUCUUCCAAGUAAGUGUCGUUGGCUAGAAUCAAGUGUCAAUCUGUUAACAUAUUUUAUUGGAAUAAUGCCGUACCGGCGGCAGCUUUCGUACGAAGGUCCAUCACCAUUCGGCAUCUUUUAUUGAAUGUUGAGUGUGAUUUGUGCCAAUAGUGGAGUAUAAUCGACGAUAGGUGCUGCUGACCAAAUCGUUGUCGUCGCCCGUAUCGUAAAUCGUGCAACCGUUUUGUGGAUUACUAGGUACCCAUCGGCUACAAAGGAGAGGACAUCAUCAGUCCAUUGGACUGUACAUUUUGUUUCACCGAAAUUUUAUUUAACUUAACCUUUGACGUUUGUUUUCUCAAUCUGUGCUUGAUUUUGAAUGCGGCUCAUUAAAUUAAUUUAAUUUUCAA